CAGUAGCCACGGGAACACGGAGGGUGCAAGCGUUAAUCGGAAUUACUGGGCGUAAAGCGUGCGCAGGCGGUUCGUUAAGACAGAUGUGAAAUCCCCGGGCUUAACCUGGGAACUGCAUUUGUGACUGGCGAGCUAGAGUAUGGCAGAGGGGGGUAGAAUUCCACGUGUAGCAGUGAAAUGCGUAGAGACGUGGAGGAAUACCGAUGGCGAAGGCAGCCCCCUGGGCCAAUACUGACGCUCAUGCACGAAAGCGUGGGGAGCAAACAGGAUUAGAUACCCCUGUAGUCCCUGUCUCUUAUAC
rnacentral:rRNA from 1 species